rnacentral:lncRNA from 1 species
UGCGCUAUCAUUUAAUGACAAUAACUACAGAGGCCUUUCACCUAUUAGUACGGCACCUGGCUGGCGGGGCAGCAGCUGUUGUCCGCAUUGAGCAGCGAGUACACGCAGCUGUUUCCGUAGCACAGCCCCGCCGGAGUGCCACACCUGCUGUUUCGACUCAUGGCCAGACAUACAUACAGGUCGCCAGACGGGGUUGCGGGGAAGGUGCUGGCCAGGGAGGUGAUCGUCAUCACGCCGU